UACGUAGGGUGCGAGCGUUGCCCGGAUUUAUUGGGCGUAAAGGGCGCGUAGGCGGUCACGCGCGUCCGUUGUGAAAUCGCUCGGCUCAACUGGGCGAGGUCAGCGGAUACGGCGUGGCUGGAGCAAGCUAGGGGGCAAUGGAAUUCCCGGUGUAGUGGUGGAAUGCGUAGAUAUCGGGAGGAACACCAGUGGCGAAGGCGGUUGCCUGGAGCUUUGCUGACGCUGAUGCGCGAAAGCGUGGGGAGCCGAGUCCGG
rnacentral:rRNA from 1 species